rnacentral:rRNA from 1 species
GUGUAGCAGCCGCGGUAAUACGGAGGGUGCGAGCGUUAAUCGGAAUUACUGGGCGUAAAGCGCAUGCGGGUGGUUUGUUAAGUCAGAUGUGAAAGCCCGGGGCUCAACCUCGGAAUAGCAUUUGAAACUGGCAGACUAGAGUACUGUAGAGGGGGGUAGAAUUUCAGGUGUAGCGGUGAAAUGCGUAGAGAUCUGAAGGAAUACCGGUGGCGAAGGCGGCCCCCUGGACAGAUACUGACACUCAGAUGCGAAAGCGUGGGGAGCAAACAGG